UUCCUUUCUACAUAGACACAGUAACAGUCUGAUCGCUCUUUCUUUUCCCUACAACCUCACAGCCCAAAUGACCCUCCAAGACCCUCUGGAGGCACCCGCAGUGCUCCUUAAUUUGCAGCUCUACAGAAUGAGACCAGCGUGGCAGCCCCCUUUCAGGACAGCUCCCGAGACGAGACGCGAGAGCAGCCCCUAAAUCUCACCCAGCAAAGCCGUUUCUUCCUAACCGGGCUGGGGAGUGCCGCGCGCUGCCAGCAGAUGGCGACAGAGGAUUAGCCUGCGGAAACCGGCCUUUUUAUAGCCAACAAGAGCAAAAGCACACUGCAAUGUCCAAACGAAUUGCAGGCGUUUUCUGCUCCCUGAAGCCUGGGAAUUAAUUUAUAUACUCAGUCCCUUUUCCCUUGGCUGGCCAUUGAAGUAGUUGAACCACAGGAUUGGACUGUCCAGAAUCAUUAGCCAGAGUUCACUGUGAGUGGACGUCUUUUAGUUCUGCUUCAACGCUAUAACCAACCUUUACCAAAAGCAACAACAAAACAAAAAACUGCAGAAACCAAUGAGUUCUGUUCACAAAGGAUGGCUCCUCAUGUCAUCACACCGGCAAGGAAUGGACGAGCCUCUGAUUUUUCUCUUCUUGGCUGACUUUACAAGGUUGGAUGCAGUCCAUGAGGAUCAUGCAGCAAAGACAGAAAGUGCUGGAGAAGCCCAACCUGCAGGGCCUCACCUUUAGCUGGUUUGUGUGGUUCCACUUCAUGUAGCUGUUGGAACACCAGUCUCUCUAAUGUGCUCUAUGGGAUAGCUGUUACCUUCCACUAAUUUAUGUCUAAUACCUAUAAACCUAAAGUAUCUUUUUAAAAAUUUUAUUCCGUCUUUUUGGAGGAAAUUUUUGUGCAUGCCAGAUAUAGUGUCAAGCAUUGGGAUUGCUAAGAUGAACGUAACAUUGUCCUCACCACCCAUUAAGUCACAAUCUAGUAGAUGAGUAAAAGUAAAAAAAAAAAUUAAAAAAAGAGUUAUAACCAUAAUACAGAAGUGAACAGGUUGCAGUGGUAGCACAGAGAGGGCUUCAGGGAUGCUGUCACAGAGGUGGUAACAUUUGAGAUAUAGAUUCCAAAUUCAGAUGUGUUUGCUGUUGCAAAAUUCCAGGGUCUAUGUGCCCAGUUCCUGAACAUUCCAGUGAUAAUUUUUACCUAAAAUUUAGGUGGCAAAUGAAUCUUACUAUAACCACUUGGAACCACUGUGUUUCUGGUCCAUCUUGUGAGGCCCAUCUUUGGUUCAGAGGGAUGGAGGCAGAAGUCAUACGGCAGCUUCACGAUUCGAACUCAAAUGUCUGGUCAGCUACUCAGCCAUCUCUUCCAAGCUGUCAGGUUUCCCUAAGGUAAGAGCCAUACUGAUAUGGUUUGGCUCUGUGUCCCCACCCAAAUCUCAUCUUGAAUUUUAAUCCCAAUAACCCCCAAGUGUCAAGGGGGGAAUCUGGUGGGAGGUGAUUGGAUCAUGGGGACAGUUUUGCCCAUGCUGUUCUCAUGAUAGUGAGUUCUCAUAAGAUAUGAUGGUUUUAUAAGGGGCUAUUCCCACUACACUUUUAUCUCUCCUGCCACCCUGUGAAGAAGGACAUAUUUUCUUCCCCUAAUUCCAUGAUUGUAAGUUUCCUGAGGCCCCCCAGCCAUGUGGAACUGUGAGUGAAUUAAACCUCUUUCCUUUAUAAAUUACCCAGUUUUGGGUAUUUCUUUGUAGCAGUGUAAAAACAGAUUAAUACAGGAAAUUGGUACCAGGAGUUUGGGGCACUGCCACAAAGAUACUUAAAAAUGUGGAAACCACUUCGGAACUGGGUAACAGGAAGAAGUUGGGACAGUUUGGAGGGCUCAGAAGACAGGAAGAUGUGGGAAAGUGUGGAACUUCCUAGAGACUUGCUGAAUGGUUUUGACCAAGAUGCUGAGAGUGAUAUGGACAACGAAGUACAGGCUGAGGUGUUCUUAUAUGGAGAUGAGGAACUUAUUUGAAACUGGAGCAAAUGUCACUCUUGCUAUGCUUUAGCAAAGAGACUGGAGGCAUUUUACCCCUGACCUAGAGAUCGGUGGAACUUUGAACUUUUAUUAGUCCAUUUUCAUACUGCUAUGAAGAAGUACCUGAGAUUGAGUAAUUUAUAAAGAAAAAGAGGUUUAAUGUACUCACAGUUCCACAUGGCAGAGGAGGCCUCACAAUCAUGGUGGAAGGUGAAGGAGGAGGAAAGCCGUGUCUUACAUGAUGGCAGUCAACAGAGCAUGUGCAGGGGAACUGCCCUUUAUAAAACCAUCAGGUCUUGUGAGACUUAUUCACUAUCACAAGAACAGCACAGGAAAAACCCACCCCCAUGAUUCAAUUACCUCCCACUGGGUCCCUCCCAGGACAUAUGGGGAUUAUGGGAGCUACAAUUCAAGAUGAGAUUUGGGUGGGGACAGAGCCACACCAUAUAAUUCCACCCCUGGUCCCUCCCAAAUCUCAUGUCCUUACAAUUCGAAACACAAUCAUCCCCUUCCAACCGUCUCCCAAAGUCUUAACUAAUUGCAGCAUUAAUACAAAAGUCCAAAUCCAGAGUCUCAUCUGAGACAAGGCAAGUCCCUUCCACCUAUGAGCCUGUAAAAUCAAAAGCAAGUCAGUUACUUCCUAGAUAUAAUGGGGGUAGAGGCUUUGGGUAAAUAUACCCAUUCCAAAUGGGAUAAAUUGCCAAAACAAAAGGGCCACAGCCCCCAUGCAAGUCCAAAAUCCAGCAGGGCAGUCAAAUCUUAAAGCUCCAAAAUAAGCUUUGACUAUAUGCCUCACAUCCAGGUCACACUGAUGCAAGAGGUGGGUUCCCAUGGUCCUGGGCAGCUCUGCCCCUGUGGCUUUGCAGGGUACAGCCCACUCCCCCUUCCCCGGCUGCUUUCAUGAGCUGGCAUGAAAAUGGACAUUGGGCAAACUCACAGUCUGGCAUGAAGCUUUUCCAGGAGCAUGGUGCAAGCUGUUGGUGGAUUUACCAUUCUGGCGUUUGGAGGAUGGUGGCCCUCUUCUCACAGCUACACUAGGCAGUGUCUCGGGGGGACUCUCUGUGGGGGCUACCACCUCACAUUUCCCUUCUGCACUGCCCUAGCAGAGGUUCUCCAUGAGGGCUCCACCCCUGCAGCAAACUUCUGCCUGGAUAUCCAGGCGUUUCCAUACAUCCUGUGAAAUCUAGGUGGAGGUUCCCAAACCUCAAUUCUUUACUUCUGUUCACCUGCAGGCCCAACACCAUGUGUAAGGCACCAAGGCUUGGGGCUUGCACCCUCUGAGUCAAUGGCCUGAGCUAUAUCUUGGCCCCUUUUAGCCACAGCUGGGACACAGGGCACCAAGUUCUAAGACUGCACAAAGCAGCAAGACCUGGGGUUUAGCCCAUGAAACCACUUUUUCCUUCUAGGCCUCUGGGCCUGUGAUGGGAGGGGCUGUCAUGCAGACCUCUGGCAUGCUCUGGAGACAUUUUCCCCAUUGUCUUGGUGAUUAACAUUUGGCUCCUUGUUACUUAUGCAGAUUUCUGCAGCUGGCUUAAAUUUACCCUCAGAAAAUGAGGUUUUAUCUUCUAUCACAUCGACGGGCUGCAAAUUUUCUGAACUUUUAUGAUCUGCUUCCCUUUUAAACAUAAGUUCCAAUUCCAAAUGAUAUCUUUGUGAAUGACUAAAACUGAAUGCUUUUAAGAGUACCCAAGUCACAUCUUGAAUGCUUUGGUGCUUAGAAAUUUCUUCUUCCAGAUACCCUAAAUCAUCUCUCUCAAGUUCAAAGUUCCACAGAUCUCUAGGGUGGGGCAAAAUGCCACCAGCCUCUUUGCUAAAGCAUAGCAAGAAUGACCUUUGCCCCAGUGCCCAAGUUCCUCAUCUCUGUCUGAGACCAUGUCAGCCUGGAAUUUAUUGUCGGUAUCACUAUCACAUUUUGGGCAAAGGCAUUCGACAAGUCUCUAUGAAGUUCCAAACUUUCCCACAUUUUCCUGUCUUCUUCUGAGCCCCCUAACCUUUUCCAACCUCUGCCUGUUACCCAGUUCCAAAGUUGCUUCCACAUUUUCAGGUAUGUUUACAGCAGCACCCCACUCUCUGUGAUACCAAUUUACUGUAUUAGUCCAUUUUCAUACUACUAUGAAGAAAUACCUGAGACUGGGUAAUUUAUAAAGAAAAAGGGGUUUAAUGGACUCAGAGUUCUACAUGGGUGGGGAGGACUCACAAUCAUGGUGGAAGAUGAAAGAGGAGCAAAGGCACAUCUUACAUGGCAGCAGGCAAGAGGGAGCAUGUGUAGGGGAACUCUCCUAUAUAACUAUCAGAUCUUGUGAGACUUAUUCACUAUUGCAAGAACAGCAUAGAAAAAACUCAUCCCCGUGAUUCAAUUACCACCCACUGGGUCCCUCCCAGGACAUGUGGGGAUUAUGGGAGCUACAGUUCAAGAUGAGAUUUGGGUGGGGACACAACCAAACCAUAUCAGAACUUGAGAGAGAUUAUUUGAAAUUGGAACAUAUGUUUAAAGGGAAGGAGAAUGUAAAAGUCUGGAAAAUUUGCAGCCUGACCAUAUGGUAGAAAAGAAAAACCCAUUUUCUGGGAAGAAACUCAAGCUAGCUACAGAAAUUUGCAUAAGUAACGAGAAGCCAAAUCUUAAUUGCCAAGACAAUGGGGAAAAUGUCUCCAGGGCAUGUCAGAGAACUUAGUGGCAGCUCCUCCCAUCACAAGCCUGGUUACACGGUUAGGUGGAAAAGACAAGUUGUAUGUAGAGAUCAUUAUCAGAAAUUGCUAAACUCUGUCAUCAAAAACUCUGUUGGAAUGGAUUUUAAAAUUUCUUAAUAAAAGAUGAAA
rnacentral:lncRNA from 1 species